CUCCGGGUGACCGCAUUUGUUUCAGACCGGCUCCCGGCACAGGUAAAGUCUUACCUGUGCAUCGCCGGACUUGUGAGUUAAGAUGGCAGCCCGCUGGUGUUCGUUGGCGAACAAUGUGAACUGGCCAUCGCUGCUGAUCAGUAAUCAAAGCAAA